CACAAUGAUCGUGUAUGUUCAGGAAUGACAGUCUCCAAAUACAGCCAACGCUGAGAAUGAAAUUCAAGAAUGAUCGUACGUACUCGUCUUAGAGCCUCGCGACUGGCUAGCUUCAAACACCCGGGACCACGAAAAUCGAAUAGGCGGUUAGAGUGGCUUGCGAUUUGUUCUCGUUCAUUAUCUUCAUUAUGGCAUGUUGGGCAGUUCAUAAUUACAGAAAUGGCCACAGUAAUUCUUCAAGAGAAAAUUGAUUAACAUUUCGCAGGAGAGCGCUCUGCUUGCGACUACCGAACAAGAGAACGGAAACAUUUCCAAACCAAUAGAGCGAAGUCUCCGGAAUGCAAUUUCAAGCAACCCAAAGGAAGAAUUGCUUAUUUCUAGGAUAAGAAUGACCAGUGCAGCUAAGAGAAAAUGCACACAGUAUUCUGUCGAAUAUCUUGCUUAUGGAUUCAUUGAGUCCCCACAAAAUACUACAGUGCCUAUGUGCCUGCUAUGCAUGAUCUCACUCUCAAAUGAAAGUAUGCGUCCCUGCAAACUGAAAAAGCAUCUGGAGACUGCACAUAAAUAAAGACAAGAAAGACAAGCCGCUAGCUUUCUUCAAAAAAUUACGUGAUGAGUUCCAAGGCAGGAUGACAGGGAAUCAUAUGUUUACCCAAAAAGUGGCAAAAGUAGAAAGAGGAAUGUUGACUUCUUACAAGAUAGCAAAUUUGAUUGCAAAAGCAUGUAAGCCUCAUACUACCGGUGAAUCUCUUAUCAUGCCGGCAGUGGCUGUAGUGCUUUCAACAGUCAUGCAUCAGAGUCCACAAGAGGUAACGAGUGUUAUUCCUCUGAGCAACUCCUCAGUACCACGCCGUAUUGAUGAAACGGCAGCUGAUGUUGAAAACCAAUUAGUCUCAAAACUGCAGGUAAAUGAUUUCUCGCUUCAACUCGACGAAUCAACUUUACCUGAUAAUUCUGCUCUUCUGAUGGCAUUUGUGAGGUUUCUUGAUGUUGAUGAAAUAUGUCAAGAAAUGCUUUUCGCAUUGAAAUAACGACUGACACUAAAGGUGAAUCCAUCUUCAAAAAACUUAAGGUCUAUUUUGAGGAGAACAACAUUCCACUCAAGAACAUUGUGGCUUGUGCAACAGAUGGCGCUGCUGCUAUGAUUGGAAGGUAUCUGGGAUUUAGUGCUUACUAAAAAAAAAGCUGUUCGUAUGUCGUUUGUGUGCAUUGUGUUGUUCACCCGCAGCACCUGGUUGCCAAAAGCUUAGCAGGACACGUCUGCAUGAAGCAAUUGGGCAUGUUAUCAAGGCUGUCAACUUGAUAAAAAAGAAAGUGCACUGCAAGAUCGCCUCUUUCAGCAAUUAUGUGAAAAGAACAUUGAAGAAUUUGAACGACUUGUGUUGCACACUGAAGGGUAAUUGCCUGCAUCGUUUUGUUGCACUUUGGGACAGUUAUCUUUCAAGAUAGAGCCAAUUGUACCUACAUGUA